rnacentral:ncRNA from 27 species
UACAUGCUAAGAAAGCGCAUGCCGGUAGAGUCUUUCUGUGCCUCACCAAUUUGUAAUUACUCUACCAGUAUGUUAAGCUAUAGCGACU